rnacentral:rRNA from 1 species
GUGCCAGCAGCCGCGGUAACACGUAGGAGACGAGCGUUAUCCGGAUUUACUGGGCGUAAAGCGCGGGUAGGUGGGGUCUUAAGUCAUGCGUGAAAGCUCUCGGCUUAACCGGGAGAGGUCGUGUGAAACUGGGGCUCUCAGAGGUAGGUAGAGGCAGAUGGAAUUCCGGGUGGAGUGGUGAAAUGCGUAGAGAUCCGGAGGAACACCAGUGGCGAAGGCGAUCUGCUAGGCCUGACCUGACACUCAGACGCGACAGCAUGGGGAGCGAACGGGAUUAGAUACCCCCGUAGUCC